rnacentral:misc_RNA from 1 species
UGUAAAUGGCCUUCUUGGCAAGAUAUCAGAGCAACCUAAACUGGCAUUACCUUCACAGGCAAAGUCUGGUGAAAUCACUACUAGUAGCAAUGGAAAGGAAAAAGAUGGAUUUGGUUUGGAUGUAUUGGAUGAUCCUGAGUCUAUUGAUUUGUCCAACCUGCAGCUUCCAGAACCAGGAUUGGACGAUGGCCAAGGGCAGGAUCUGGGUUCUUGGUUGAACAUUGAUGAUGAUGGAUUACA